UUUGUAGCAGGCAUGUGUAGCAAGUUUGCUAUUGUAAUAUGAAGAUGAAGAUGAAAAACACGGGGAAAAUUUUUCUGUUUGUGAUGUGUAUCACACUUAUUCCCAUUAAAGGCAGCCCAUUAAACAAUGUGAAUACAAGGGAAUCACUGUAAUACCUCAACACAAGAAAUUUCAGUUGUAUGAUUCUCCAAUCCAUGUUUUACCCGUCAUUAUAUUAAACUCAGUGAAUUUGCAUUGAGAAUAAUGGGUACUAUGGUGUAUUUGGUAACUACACGAGGGGCUUUUGCUAAUGAAGCUCCACCACCUCUCCCACAAAUUACUGGGCUGGCCUUUUCUGUGACAUGUGUGCAACACCCACUAAUCCCAAUCCAUUCUCAGAUAACUGAAUUAUGUACCUGCAUACAGCAACAAUGUCCUAUUGGGCUUCUGGGAGACCAAAAGGAUCAGAAGCCUGCUCACCUCUUUGAUAAGACAUGCUUUUGGGGAUUGCUAGCUGUUCAGGCUCGUCAAGUCUCCAAUCAACAGAUAAAUGUUAUAGUGGAGGAGAGCACAAUGGCCAAUGCUGGCAUUUCUAGACACACAUUGUUCAGAUAAGACAGAGACUCCAUAUCCUCAUUGUAUAGAAAACCCUAUUCCAGCAUCUUGAAUGGCUGGAGGAUAACCCAAAUAUAGUCAUUAAACGUAAGGAUUGCAUCAAUGGCUCCAAUACAUUUCUUGAUAUUCAACAGGCGCCUCAAGUCCCGAAUCAACUGAUAAUCUAUGGUUGGCCAGGAAGUUCAGAACUCCAAAAUGGCCAAUGUUGGCACCUCUAGACACACAUUGUCCAGAUAAGCCUCCUUUCCUCAUUGUGCCAUAAGUUUUGAAAUACUCUUUCAAUUUUAGCACUCAACUACUACUCUAGGAUUAAGAAAGUUGAUUUUAUUUUCUAACUCUAGUUUUUUUGGUGUAGAAUGGUAUUGUUUAUUGGCUUUCUAAAUAUUUAGUAAGCCUAAGUAUCAGCUAAGUGAUCUUUGUUUGGUUAUGUAUUUUACCAAGUAGUAAAGUUUGAUUACCAUUGGAAUCUAGUAAUUUUGCUUCAGGGUUUAAUAUGUUUUUGGUUCCUUGUUUUGGGAGCUUUGGUACCUGUAUGUUGGAGUUAUUCAUUUUCUUUAGUAUUUCAAAUGGGAUAUAGGGAUAUAAGUUUCCUUGGCUUCAGGUAAGGAGAUUUUAUAAAAUAGAGAAUGGAACCCCAAUUUCUAGUAUUGAGAUGUUUGAAAUGUUUUGAAAAUUUAUUAGCUGGGUGCCAUUGUUUCACUCAGUAAAAAACUAACAUGAUUAUCUAUGGACCGUAAUAAUAUAGAAAUAACUACGAGGAUUAUCUGUCAGCUGUAUUGAUACAAAGAAGCUACAAUCAUUGAAGUUGACAAGCUUGAUGAGGUUGACAUGGAUGAUUAGAAAUGGGAUCCGGUAACAUUUUAGAUUGUUUUCAUCACCAUUUUGUGUGACUAAUGCCUUUAUGUGUUUCUUACGUAUACCAUUCCUUUUUCUAUGAUAAAAUUUUACGAGUUAUUUUAAUAUGUAUUUUUUUGUUUAUACUGUUCAUUCUCUGUUCAUUCAUUUGUAGACAUUCUUUCUUAUUUGUGAUUGUUCAUUUUUAUC